rnacentral:tRNA from 1 species
AGGGAUAUAGUUCAAUGGUUAGAGCACUUCCCUGAUACGGAAGGAGUUAUAGGUUCAAGUCCUAUUAUCCCUA